rnacentral:lncRNA from 1 species
AAUGAAAAUUUAAACCUAAUUGAAAUCAUGUGCUCAGUCUUCUAUGUGGUUUUUUGGUCAGUCAUCAAUGAUCAGCAUGAUUUCACUUUUUCACGUCUUCCUCUGAAGAAGUAUGAUGGGAGAAAUAAAAGCCAGAAAGAAAGAAAGGAAGAAAGGAAGAGAGAGAGAAAGGGGUGGAGGAGGGAAAAAAGCAAAGAGCUGUUAAUUGGCAAGAAACUGGAAAGUCCUACAAGAAAGGCUGUAGGUAAUUUUGGGAACAAAUCAGCUUGAGUGAUGCCCAGACCAGGAAGAUAGAAAAAGAUCAAGGUGACCCAGUGGCGCAAGGAUUUAGGGUCAUCAUAUUACAGAGUUUUGUCCAAAGAACAGCUGGUUUUGAUCUACUGAUCACACCAUCCCUUGAAUCCCGAUGUGUGUCCACUGGGUCUGGUAGGAAACAGAUUUGUUUAACAGUCUCCAUCCUGAAUUCAAAUCCUUAUCCCACCCAUCUGCUCAAGCUUUGUAACUGGGUCAAGCUAAGCAGGCAUGUCUCCUUCUUGAGGAUGAGUUGUGUCCUAGUACCCUACUUGGCACCUCCCACAAAUGCACUUCUUUUUGGUGGGGGGGGCUUCAGUGAACAAAAUCUGAUGCCCAGACUUGCAUGAACCCCAGGACUAGACAUGGCACAGGCUCAGCUGAAGAAUCUUACCUCUGCCUCUCCUUCCCAGCUUCCUGCCAACAGGAGAAUUUAGCUGGUUUCACCUUUAAGUAUCUAGUCCUCCUUUCCUCUUGAGCAUUUUUAUCUUGAAAGUCAAGAUUUUUGGUUCAAGUCUACUGGCCCAAGAGAAGGGUUCUCUGCUUGAUUUACAGUAGGUGAUAAUGAGUAGUAAACAAAGCACUCAGCUGUGAAGUCACCAUUCGCUUAUGCCAGGUAUAGCUGAGCUGGCAGCCCCAUCUCCACAACUGUGAGAAAUAAAGUUCUGUGUUGAUAAGCCACCCAAUCUCUGGCAUUUGGCUCUAAAGAACCAAGAGAGCUGGAGAGCAUAUUUGGUCCAGUUUCCUUUCCUGCUUCUCUGGAUCUGAGGAUCAUUUCCAAGAAUAUCCAAAUGUGGAACAUCUCUCCCUUUGGGGGCUUCCAACUUCCCAGAUGCCCGGUUUUCUUUUGACCCCUUUCUCACUGAGCUUUUGUUUGUUUGGCUGUACUUGUGGUAUAUGGAAAUUCAUCUUCCAGUCACUGAAUCCAAGCUGCAGCUGCAACCUACUGUGCAGCUGCAGCAGCGCCAGAUCCUUUAACCCACUGCUUCAGGCCAGGGAUCAAACCUGUGCCUCUGCAGUGGCCCAAGCCACUCCAGUCAGGUUCCCACCCCACGGCACCACAGUGGGAACUCCCCACUGUGGGUUUUUUAUUGAAUGCAUUUACCUCGCCUUCCCAGAACACAGGGGGAAGGCCCUGCAUUUCCACCAACACAAAUGUUGCUGAUGGCUUGUAUCUCGGUUUUAUUUCUUACUCUCCCACUUCAUAAAAGACUAGGAAAGCACUCGCCCAAAUGUUUGCACAUCAUUUCAAUAUUCAUUUCCAUUAAUUUAUUCAUAGCUGUAAAGUUUACUACCUAGAAUAUUGAGUCAUAAGAUUUGAGAGACGGAAGACACAGGAGAGGAGAGGUUAUCUCGUCCCAACUCCUCGUUUUACAGAUGAGGAGACUGAGGUGAGAGGGCUCGGGCAGCUCUCCAAGGUCAAAUUGGAAUGGUGACAAAGGGGAGGUCCCAGGGCAGGUCUCUGCUGUCUGGCCUCUGUUCAUUGCAGCUCUGCAGAGCUGAAAACCAUCUUGCUCUCUGCUGGCACAGAAAGCCUCUUUCUUGUUCAUUUCUUGUGCCUUCAUUAUCUAGAAAGUUUGUGUUAAGGGCCAGCCCAGAGCUCAGUGCUGGAGUGCCGCAGUAAAUGACCCCGUCAGGGUAGCAGCACUCACAUCAUAGUGGGGCAGAGACUGAGCAAAGAGACGAACAGGGGUGUGUGUAGGUGUGUGUGUGUGUGUGUGUGUAGGUGUGUGUGUGUGCACGAGAACAAGUUGUGAUGAUAGCUCUUGAAUAAACAAGGGCUGCGUGGAGGACAGUGGUGGGAGGUGUCUUAAUUGGGUUGCUCUAAAAAGUACCACAGACCAGGAAGCUUAUAGGCAACAUAUUCUUACUUCUCAUAGUUCAGGAGCCUGAAGUCUGAGAUCCGGCUGCCAGUGUGGUCAGGUUCUGGUGGGAGCCCUCUUCCAGGUUGCAGACAGCCUACUUCUUAUGUCAUCACAUGUAGAAAGAGGCCAGGAGAGCUCUCUGCAGUCCUUAUUUAAGCACACCAAUUCCAUUCACGAGGCCUCUGCCCUUAUGAUCUCAUCACCUCCCAAAGGCCCCACUUCCUAAUAGCAUCCCAUGGAGGGGAGGGUGAGGAUUUCAAGGUAUGAAUUUGGGAGGGAUGAAGACAUUCGGUUCAUAAUAGAAGGCUGGGGCGGGAGUCUUGGGUUGUGUUUUCCCAAGGAGGUGAGAAGAGGAGACUGGAAAGGGGAGUGAGCCAACACCGGGUGCCUUAAUUAAAGGAUGCUGCAGCAGAGAAGUGGUCCAGGAUCCACCCAGGGAAUUCUGGGAAUCGGUGCAGAAGACGUUGCCUCUGAGUCAUCCCCUAGGCAGGGCCAGGAAACUGGGGUCCUUCCCUACCAGUUCCCCAUCUGUCAGUGGUUGAGAACUACUCUCAGGGCGUUUACCUCUGAGCUGUGCUGGCCAGCAUCCCAGCACAAUAUUUGCAGUAUUUGUGGCAUGCUUAUACUAAAAUUCAAAAGUAGCUGACAUUCCAAAUUGAACUGCCCUCCUGUAUUGUAUUAGGCGGCCCAGCUGCCCCUUUGAUGGGUCCAGCGGCACCUGUAGCCAGAGUCGGGUACCAGCAUCACAGAUAGUUGUGGAAGGGAGGGCGGAGCAGCUGGGCAAGUGACUUGGAAAGUCCCUGAGGGGCCAAAAAGGUCUUAGGGAGUAGAUGUCAGUGAAGACAAGGUCCCAAGGCUGGGAAGGAGCCAGCCUUUCACACAAGGAGGGGGAAUGAAGGUGGGGGCAGAGCCCUGAUUUCCAGGCAGCGCGAACAUCACAUGGAACAGGGAGUACGUGCUCUCUGUUGCCCUAGAUGAGGGUCCUGGUGUUUGGAAGUGGCCUUCGAGGUGGGGUCGCAGGGCUGGUGAUGAUCCUAAGGCUGUGUCGCACCUCAUGCUCGCCAGGCACUGUCUGUGUGUGGGGCAGGAUGCUUGCGUCUUGCAUGAUGCCACGUAACCUUCCUGACGGCCCUAGGAGGGAGGUGCUAGCAUCAGGCCCUUUUCCAAAACUGAGGAAACGAAGGCUUUGAGAGCAUAGGUGACCUGCUAGUGAGGGGUCCAGCCAAGAUUUGAACCCAGACAGCUCAAGAGUCCACUUAAUCCUCAAACCCAUCUAUCGCAGGUUGAAUUGUGUGCCCUGUGUCCAGAGCUAGAUUGACUCUAGACCCCCAGCACCUGUGAAUGGGAAACUGGAAAUAAGGCUUUUGCAGCUGUAAUGAAAUUAUAGUGAGGCAGGGAGUUCCCAUUGUGGCUCAGCAGUAACGAACCGGACUCGCAUCCACGAAGAUGCGGGUUUGAUCCCUGGCCUUGCUCAGUGGAGUAAGGCUCCAGCAUUCCAUGAGCUAUGGUGUAGGUUGCAGACGUAGCUCGGACCCACGUUGCCAUGGCUGUGGUGUAGCCCAGCAGCUGCAGCUCCAGUGUGACCCCUAGCCUGGAAACUUCCAUAUGCUGCAGGAGCAGCUAUAAAAAGCCAAAAAGAAAAAAACAUUAAAGUAAGGUAGUUUAGCAAGAUGAAUAAACCGUAGAGAUCUGUAGCACCCUAUACCUGUGGUUCCCAAUGAUGUAGUUUAUGUAUAAAAAUGUGUUAAGAGAGUAGAUCUUAUGUGACAUGUCUUACUGCAAAAAAAAUUUAAAAAAAAUUUAAAUGACAUUAUCCUGGAUUAGAAUGGGACCGAUAUCCAUGGAUUGAUGUCUUUAUAAGAGAAGAGAGGAAAGUUUGAAGAUACACACACACACACACACACACACACACGCACGCACGCAACGCACAUACGCGCGCACCUGCACAUGCACACACCGAAGAAAGAAAUAAUACUGUGUAAAGAAUACCAGGCAAAUAUUGUAUUUUAUGUUGCUACUGAUGCAAACAGCCCCAGACAUUGUUGGUGACCCUCAGAGGCUGGACGCAGCAAAGGACUCCCCCUGACAGCCUUUGGAAGGAUCACAGCCCUGUGGACACCUUGCUUUUGAACUUCUGGCCUCCGGGACAGUGAGAGAAUACCUUUCUGAUGUGCCACCCAGUUUGUGACACUUUGUGACAGCAGAACUGGAAAACUGAUACUGCAUCCCUUCUCAGCUUACCAAAGGGCAUCUGAAGGGGAGCCUUUAAGCAAAUUAAACAACUGCCCCAGGCAGGAGCCAGGCAGCCAAAUGGCUCACCUGGGGGCCUCAGGUGACAGAGGCACCCACUGCCCCCCUUUAAUGGGCCAGAAUGGUGUUCACAUUUCCCAGCCCAUUGGCAGUGACAUAGAGGGAGGAGCCAAGGCUGCAAUCACAACGAUAUACAGCUCAAGGCCAGUGCAAUGAUUAGCUGCCCACAGGAACAGUGCAACGUGCAUGAUAUUUGCCUGCCCAGGAAAGCCAAGUGCAAGUUCCUGCCCGCUCUCAUGACCCGGUUCCGCCAGCGCGGGAAGGGACAGGCCCCUCCAGCUCCUGCCCUCUGCUGCCACCAGGAUUUAACUCCUUCCUGUCCCCCAGGCUGUUGGACAUCGCACACAACUGUUCCAACGUGCAUUCAAGGGGGGUCAGUCUCUUUGAUGGGGCCCUGCCUUUUCUGGAGCUUUCCAACAAUCAAUGGAAGCAUGAUUCAUAGAAGUGCACAUGGCCCAUUUUUCAG